rnacentral:rRNA from 1 species
UACAGAGGUCCCAAGCGUUGUUCGGAUUCACUGGGCGUAAAGGGUGCGUAGGCGGUCGGGUAAGUCUGAUGUGAAAUCUCACAGCUUAACUGUGAAACUGCAUUGGAUACUAUUCGGCUUGAGAGUUGGAGGGGGGACUGGAAUUCUUGGUGUAGCAGUGACAUGCGUAGAUAUCAAGAGGAACACCAGUGGCGAAGGCGAGUCCCUGGACAACUUCUGACGCUGAGGCACGAAAGCUAGGGGAGCAAACAGG